CAUUAGUUCAGUUGGUUAGAGCAUGGUGCUAAUAAUGCCAGGCUUGUGGGUUUAAUCCCCAUAUG
rnacentral:tRNA from 1 species